rnacentral:rRNA from 1 species
CUUGUAGGCGGUUUGUCGCGUCUGCUGUGAAAAUCCGGGGCUCAACCCCGGACUUGCAGUGGGUACGGGCAGACUAGAGUGUGGUAAGGGAGACUGGAAUUCCUGGUGUAGCGGUGGAAUGCGCAGAUAUCAGGAGGAACACCGAUGGCGAAGGCAGGUCUCUGGGCCACUACUGACGCUGAGAAGCGAAAGCAUGGGGAGCGAACA